rnacentral:lncRNA from 1 species
GGUGGAGCUCAGGGGCCCUCUUGGAGCAGCCAUGCAGAGCUAUUGGUGGCCCUGUUGCGCCUCAGGAUGGACCCUGAAACCUGCGCUUUGGCCGAGGAUCUUGAGGUCAGCAUCUCCUCUGUGCACCCCUGCCCCAAUUUUUCAUUGUGGUUACAUCAGUUCUGUGUGCGCUCAGCUGGGCCUUGUUUGCCCUGACAUGAGCUGAUAGCAUGGUGCUUGUGGCGCGCAGUCGGCAAUGGAUGCAGCGCUGCAGGCGUUUGGCGAGAGCACCUGGCAGCGCAAGUUUGUCACUCUGGCAGAGCAGGCCUCGCAGGUGGGAUCCGCUCGGCUCAUUCCCACCACUCUUCACGCAUCACUGCAGCUUCCAUUGAUGAUAUUUUGUCAGAGGAGCGGCAUUGGUCUCUGUGGUGAGGCAUUUUGAAGCUGACUUCUACAUCUACUGGCAUAGGUGGGGGUCAGCCACAGGGGUCACUUGGAGGCAAUCGGGCGAAUCCCCACCCACUCACUGCGCGGCCGGGUGCUGCGUCAGCACGCUCUGGUGGCUC